GGAUUAUUUUAAAAAAUUAUAAUAAAAUCAAAUAAAAUCAAAUUUACAGAUCGCGUGCAAAGCCCGCGAAUGUGGCAGUGGGUAUAUAAGCUGGGGUCUACGCACUCGCUCAGUGCGCGCACAGCCCGGCUUCGUUCUGUUUGUCAUCGCUUGACAGAGUUUUCCUGAGCAUCAGCAUAACCGACCCCAACGGCUCUUUUCAGAGCCAAAUAACAGAGCAUCUUUGGCUUUCAUCUGCAUAAACAGCUUUUAAGAGUCAUCAAAGACUACGGCAUCUUUACUGUUGCCAUAUUCUGCUUCCUCUUGUUUUUUUGCUUAUACUGCUAAAAGAGGACAAUACCAGCAGAGAUGGGAGUCAAAUAUGUUCAAGUCAAAACCAAGUCCUUACCAUCAAAUCUUGAUUCAACUCUCAAGUCACAAUGCACACAAAUGUUGGUUCCUGCUAAGGAUCAAGUCAAGUUUCACAAUACAGUACCAAGUUAUAAAACGUGGCCACAAGACCUGGGUUUAUGACACUUCUGAGUUUAUGUUACAUUAUACCCAUAUUAUAUCUUAUAUGCUUACAGUCUUGAACAUAAAUGUUUGUUACAUUAUUCAUACACUAGUAAAUAAGAGUCUUUAUAGAAA
ensembl:lncRNA